rnacentral:misc_RNA from 1 species
UCCGGUUUGACACCGGCAGUCCCGCUAGAGUCCCCAGCAUAACCUGAUGGUAACUAGCGGCAAGGGUUUCGCUCGUUAAGGGACUUAACCCAACACUUCACAGCACGAGCUGACGACAGCCAUGCAGCACCUGUGCACGUUCCAGGGUAAACCCUGUCAUUCCCUUUUCAGGGAACUAAUCCGUGCAUGUCAAGCCCAGGAUAAGGUUCUUCGCGUUGCUUCGAAUUGAGCCACAUGCUCCACCGCUUGUGUGAGCCCCCGUCAAUUCCUUUGAGUUUUAGCCUUGCGACCGUACUCCCCAGGCGGUGCACUUAAUGAUUUUUCUUCGAUCCGGAGGGUGUCAGAACCUUCCAAAUCUAGUGCACAUCGUUUACGGCGUGGACUAC